GCCUGGGUGGCUCAGUUGGUUAAGCAUCUGACUUCGGCUCAGGUCAUGAUCUCACGGUUCGUGGGUUCGAGCCCCGCAUUGUGCU
rnacentral:tRNA from 1 species